rnacentral:lncRNA from 1 species
GCCAUGAGGUGAAACUAGGGCCCAGGAGCCGCCGGCCCCUCAUGGGACAGACUGUACGGCCCAGGCUCCUCCGGGCCUGGCCAGCGUGGUUAUUUAUAAGCCCUGGCUGCCUCCAGUGUGCCUGGAUCAGACUGGCUUGUUUGGGUCACCGGUGCCAAGUUUUUUCUUUCUUUUUCUUUUUUUCCAAUAAGAAUCUACGUCUGAGCAUGGACGGAAUCCCAGAAUCAAAUCACUGGAUCAAUACUUGGUCACCAAACACAUUCGAGACCUCAAAAGCUCAAAGGCUGUAGGGUAGGUACCCUUGCUACCUACUCUACCUACAGACAAAGACGCUGAGAAAUCAGAUAACUUGUCCAAGGUCAUGGACAGCUGGGACUAGACCCAUGGCUUGUCACACUCUACCAGCCUUAUUCUUAACCUCUCUGCCUGAUGCCUCUUGACCCACAUUCGACUUUGAAAAAGUUUUCGCACUUGGUUCAUCGGAAAAAGCCACACACAGCUGCCCGGAGGACUCUGUUAAUCAGUAGCUGGUUGCUUCUGGCCCAGUGGGCAACAUCAGAGGCAGAAAGUACAGUACAGAGAGAACCGCAGGCCAGCAGUUGCAUCUGAACCCACGCUCUUCCUCCCAGCCCUUUCCCUUGUCUUGACUCACAACCUAGUGUCCUCAGUAUCGCCCAGCACGUGAGGCAGCCGGUUCACUCCAGCCUUGACCAGGGCCAUCGCGGGAUCAGAGCCUCCUCUGUGAGAAUUAGAAAACAGUAUCUCUUCCUCAAGACCCUUGACUGCUAGGAAAUUGACACCAAAAACAUACAAAUCUACAAUGUCCAGUAUGUAGGUGAUGUGAAUGGCUGUCUCUUCAGUGUGCAGUGUGUACACCCUGCGCACCUAUACAAGGCAGCCCUGUCCAGGCCUCCAGACGUCCCAGUGCCACUGCCUGCUGUCAUGGGGUUCUAAUCUAAAGGGUGAGAUGCCAGUCCCGGGAGAAGGCUAAUGAUGAAAGGUUCCAGGAUAAAGGUUAAUAUACAAAAGUCAAUUACUUUCCUAAUGCCAGCAAUAAAGUGGAAUUUGAAAGUAAAAACAUAUUACCAUUUACAUUAGCAUCCCUCAGAAUUAAGGCCAGGCACAGUGGUUCACACCUGUAAUCCCAGAGUUUGGGAAACUGAGGCAGGUGGAUCACUUGAGGUCAGGAGUUUGAGACCAGCCUGG